rnacentral:rRNA from 1 species
AGCAGCCGCGGUAAUUCCAGCUCCAAUAGCGUAUAUUAAAGUUGUUGCAGUUAAAAAGCUCGUAGUUGAAUUUCGGGGUUAGUAGGUUGGUCAUGCCUCUGGUAUGUACUGGUCUCACUGAUUCCUCCUUCCUGAUGAACCUUAAUGCCAUUAAUUUGGUGUUUUGGGGAAUUUGGACUGUUACUUUGAAAAAAUUAGAGUGUUUAAAGCAAGCUAACGCUUGAAUACAUUAGCAUGGAAUAAUGAAAUAGGACGUUCGAUCCUAUUUUGUUGGUUUUUAGGAUUGACGUAAUGAUUAAUAGGGAUAGUUGGGGGCAUUAGUAUUCAAUUGUCAGAGGUGAAAUUCUUGGAUUUAUUGAAGACUAACUACUGCGAAAGCAUUUGCCAAGGAUGUUUUCAUUAAUCAAGAACGAAAGUUAGGGGAUCGAAGACGAUCAGAUACCGUCGUAGUCUUAACCAUAAACUAUGCCGACUAGGGAUCGGAUGAUGUUAAUUUUUUAAUGACUCAUUCGGCGCCUUA